UACUUAUUAGAUUUAAGCCAACCCUAGCAAUAGGAUUAAGGUUGAUUCAUGAUAAUUUGUCGAAUCGUAUGACUUUGCGUCGACGAUGGUUCAUUCAAAUUUCUGCCCUAUCAACUUUCGAUUGUAGUGUAUUGGACUACAAUGGUUUCAACGGGUAACGGAGAAUUAGGGUUCGAUUCCGGAGAGGGAGCCUGAGAAACGGCUACCACAUCCAAGGAAGGCAGCAGGCGCGCAAAUUACCCAAUCCCGACACGGGGAGGUAGUGACAAUAAAUAACAAUACAGAACUUUCGAGUUUUGUAAUUGGAAUGAGAACAAUUUAAAUCCCUUAACGAGGAACAAUUGGAGGGCAAGUCUGGUGCCAGCAGCCGCGGUAAUUCCAGCUCCAAUAGCGUAUAUUCAAGUUGUUGCAGUUAAAAAGCUCGUAGUUGAAUUUUUGCGCUGUGUGUGUGGUUUGGGCUCGCGCUCAACACUGCAGAUGCGGUGCUUUCCUUCUAGGGAGCCAGUGUGCCAUUCGUUUGGUGGGCUGGGGAACUAGGACAGUUACUUUGAGAAAAUUAGAGUGUUUAAAACAGGC
rnacentral:rRNA from 1 species